UACGUAGGGUGCAAGCGUUGUCCGGAAUUAUUGGGCGUAAAGAGCUCGUAGGUGGCCUGUCGCGUCGGCUGUGAAAACUCGGGGCUCAACUCCGAGCUUGCAGUCGAUACGGGCAGGCUAGAGUUCGGCAGGGGAGACUGGAAUUCCUGGUGUAGCGGUGGAAUGCGCAGAGUAUCAGGAGGAACACCGGUGGCGAAGGCGGGUCUCUGGGCCGAUACUGACGCUGAGGAGCGAAAGCGUGGGGAGCAAACGG
rnacentral:rRNA from 1 species